UACGUAGGGCGCAAGCGUUGUCCGGAAUUAUUGGGCGUAAAGAGCUCGUAGGCGGCUUGUCACGUCGAUUGUGAAAGCCCGAGGCUUAACCUCGGGUCUGCAGUCGAUACGGGCUAGCUAGAGUGUGGUAGGGGAGAUCGGAAUUCCUGGUGUAGCGGUGAAAUGCGCAGAUAUCAGGAGGAACACCGGUGGCGAAGGCGGGUCUCUGGGCAGUAACUGACGCUGAGGAGCGAAAGCGUGGGGAGCGAACAGG
rnacentral:rRNA from 1 species